UGUUAGUUGAAGCAGUAAACCUUGCCCGCCGCUCCCUACUUCCACCUCAACGAGAUGGCCUUUCAGAUACAAGGAGUAUGAGAUGAUUUCUGGAGACAGAUUUGCACAUGCAUGAGGUUUCAACACCAAAACAGAGAGGCCACGAGCCAAAAUAAGUGAAUAAAUCCUUGCUCCAACAUUCCAUCUUACCGCUGCACAACCAAUCCAGAAGAAAUCCAGUAGCUCAUAGCUCUUAAAGGCAAUCUUCGGCCAUAAAGGACUAGACGCAACCGGGGCGUCGGUACCGUCCCAUGAGAUACCCAGCACCCGCACGUCGAGCAAAAUGCCCCAAGCACAAAGACAGGGUUUU
rnacentral:misc_RNA from 1 species